rnacentral:rRNA from 1 species
UGGCUCAGGACGAUCGCUGGCGGCGCGCCUAACACAUGCAAGUCGAACGAGAGAGAGGGAGCUUGCUUCCUUGAUCGAGAGGCGAACGGGUGAGUAACGCGUGAGGAACCUGCCUCAAAGAGGGGGACAACAGUUGGAAACGACUGCUAAUACCGCAUAAGCCCACGACCCGGCAUCGGGAAGAGGGAAAAGGAGCAAUCCGCUUUGAGAUGGCCUCGCGUCCGAUUAGCUAGUUGGUGAGGUAACGGCCCACCAAGGCGACGAUCGGUAGCCGGACUGAGAGGUUGAACGGCCACAUUGGGACUGAGACACGGCCCAGACUCCUACGGGAGGCAGCAGUGGGGAAUAUUGCACAAUGGGGGAAACCCUGAUGCAGCGACGCCGCGUGGAGGAAGAAGGUCUUCGGAUUGUAAACUCCUGCUGUUGAGGAAGAUAAUGACGGUACUCAACAAGGAAGUGACGGCUAACUACGUGCCAGCAGCCGCGGUAAUACGUAGGUCACAAGCGUUGUCCGGAAUUACUGGGUGUAAAGGGAGCGCAGGCGGGCGAUCAAGUUGGAAGUGAAAUCCAUGGGCUCAACCCAUGAACUGCUUUCAAAACUGGUCGUCUUGAGUAGUGCAG